rnacentral:lncRNA from 1 species
UUCACAGUGUGGCACUGCCAGCAGGGCUCCGUGCCGCCAGCACACGGGCAGUGCCUCCAAGGUGCCCCCUCUGCUCCAAAGCCACGCAGCGGUGAGCAGCAGCUGGCCAAAGCCAGCACAGGAAGGUGGAGGCUGGAAAUGCUUUGCACAAAAGCCCCGCUGCUGCUUUAGCAGCUCGUCGUGUGGCAAGGGAACCAAAAUGUCUGAUGAGCUAAGAAUGGGCUUCCUGCUGGUAUUGUACUUCAGACCCUGGCCAAGCACUUCUGCAAAAGAUUUGGGCUCUGUUGCGUUUUACCCAGGCCAAGUCCUUCUGUUAGUGUUGUUUCUGCCAUGUCUCAACAUACAUGGCUUCCUGGUUUCUUUUUUUUUUUUUCCGUUAUAAUUUUGUUCUUGAUUUUUGGUGUGACUUGUUGUACUCUAUGACAAUAACCUUCUUAGCUCUAAUGUCCCUCCUACCCCUCAGCAGUUGACCAAGCUCCACCAGUUGGCUAUGCAGCAAACCCCCUUUACUCCCCUUGGACAGACCACCCCCGCUUUCCCUGGAGAAAAGCUGCCCUUACAUUCCUCCGAAGAAGCUCAAAAUCUGAUGGGCCAAUCAUCAGGUAAAACACAAAGCUACAGGGAAAUCAGUAGGCGGCUGUUGAAAAGUACUUCUGAAGUAGGACUGUGCCGUUGUUGUGCUCCUGGAUAAAUCGUCUUGUUUGUGGAGAAGUGAGCAUGCUUUCUGGUGGGCAGGUAGAGACCAGGCAGCACCAUGCCUGCCAUCUCCCUCCGUGCAGCACGCCCGAAGAAAAGCACCUCUAGUUCCUUACCUGGUUUUUGAUGUUUGUCUAUGGCUGCCAUCUCCGUAAUGGAAAGACAUCAGGGUCACCGCCCUUAUUCUUCCAUUUAAUUUUGCAUAAACCUCGCCCAGAAACAGUAGAAAAAAUGCUUGUGGGAAUGGAAAUAACAUUUUAGCUGUCUCUCAGCCGUUCAAGGAGAGCUGCAUUUUUAGUGGAACAGGACCCCAAGGAGACAAAGCAUGGCCGUAAUCUUGGAAAAAUUUCCAUUUCAAAUGUCCCUGGCAGCUGCACA